AUUGAACGCUGGCGGCAUGCCUUACACAUGCAAGUCGAACGGCAGCGGGCCUUCGGGUGCCGGCGAGUGGCGAACGGGUGAGUAAUGCAUCGGAACGUGCCAUUGAGUGGGGGAUAACGUAGCGAAAGUUACGCUAAUACCGCAUAUUCUGUGAGCAGGAAAGCAGGGGACCGCAAGGCCUUGCGCUCUUUGAGCGGCCGAUGUCAGAUUAGCUAGUUGGUGAGGUAAAGGCUUACCAAGGCGACGAUCUGUAGCGGGUCUGAGAGGAUGAUCCGCCACACUGGAACUGAGACACGGUCCAGACUCCUACGGGUGGCAG
rnacentral:rRNA from 1 species